rnacentral:rRNA from 1 species
UACGAAGGGGUCUAGCGUUGCUCGGAAUUACUGGGCGUAAAGCGCACGCAGGCGGUUUGUUAAGUCAGAUGUGAAAUCCCCGAGCUUAACUUGGGAACUGCAUUUGAAACUGGCAAGCUAGAGUCUUGUAGAGGGGGGUAGAAUUCCAGGUGUAGCGGUGAAAUGCGUAGAGAUCUGGAGGAAUACCGGUGGCGAAGGCGGCCCCCUGGACAAAGACUGACGCUCAGGUGCGAAAGCGUGGGGAGCAAACAGG